UACAGAGGGUGCGAGCGUUGUCCGGAAUCACUGGGCGUAAAGGGCGCGUAGGCGGUCCCCUAAGUGUGUGGUGAAAGCUCGGGGCUCAACCCCGAGUCGGCCGUGCAAACUGGGGGACUCGAGCAUGUCAGAGGCAGGCGGAAUUCCGGGUGUAGCGGUGGAAUGCGUAGAGAUCCGGAAGAACACCGGUGGCGAAGGCGGUUCUCUGGGCCUUACCUGACGCUGAGGAGCGAAAGCGUGGGGAGCGAACAGG
rnacentral:rRNA from 1 species